GGGGAUUUAGCUCAGUGGUAGAGUGCUUGCCUAGCAAGCACAAGGCCCUGGGUUCGGUCCCCAGCCCA
rfam:Rattus norvegicus chromosome 16, whole genome shotgun sequence.